rnacentral:rRNA from 1 species
UACGUAGGGAGCAAGCGUUGUCCGGAAUCAUUGGGCGUAAAGCGCGCGUAGGUGGCUUCGUAAGUCCGUUGUGAAAGUCAAAGGCUCAACCUUUGAAAGCCGAUGGAUACUGCGGAGCUAGAGUACGGAAGAGGCGAGUGGAAUUCCUGGUGUAGCGGUGAAAUGCGCAGAUAUCAGGAGGAACACCGGUGGCGAAGGCGGGUCUCUGGGCCGUAACUGACGCUGAGGAGCGAAAGCGUGGGGAGCGAACAGG